UCAAGUUCCAAUUUCCAGUAAUGUCUUUGAAGUCGCUGAUGUUAAGGUUAUCCAUCACUGAAACAUAAACAUAAACACAAAGUGUGAGAGAUGCUGUGCCAUAGACUGUUUAAAAGAAGUGGACGUAGUCGUGACGUCACCCGUUGGUUUAUGGACUGCCUCAAGUUUGGCCGAUUUUUAUCCCCAACUACAUUUUUGAAAAAAAUGGUGGUCUCACUUUUGUCUUGAUAUGUAAUUUCUCUCCAAAUAAACUUCCUGUUGCAAGUUUCAUCAGCAGUCACUUCUUGCAUGGAA